rnacentral:rRNA from 1 species
AUUGAACGCUGGCGGCAGGCUUAACACAUGCAAGUCGAGCGGAGAUGAGGUGCUUGCACCUUAUCUUAGCGGCGGACGGGUGAGUAAUGCUUAGGAAUCUGCCUAUUAGUGGGGGACAACAUUCCGAAAGGAAUGCUAAUACCGCAUACGCCCUACGGGGGAAAGCAGGGGAUCUUCGGACCUUGCGCUAAUAGAUGAGCCUAAGUCGGAUUAGCUAGUUGGUGGGGUAAAGGCCUACCAAGGCGACGAUCUGUAGCGGGUCUGAGAGGAUGAUCCGCCACACUGGGACUGAGAGACGGCCCAGAAUCCUACGGGAGGCAGCAGUGGGGAAUAUUGGACAAUGGGCGGAAGCCUGAUCCAGCCAUGCCGCGUGUGUGAAGAAGGCCUUUUGGUUGUAAAGCACUUUAAGCGAGGAGGAGGCUACCUGGAUUAAUACUCUAGGAUAGUGGACGUUACUCGCAGAAUAAGCACCGGCUAACUCUGUGCCAGCCGCCGCCGUAAUAC